rnacentral:lncRNA from 1 species
UGAAUCAGCUAUGAGUUGAAAGAGAUGUUAUCAGUCCUUUCCAAUUCAGAUUUAGUACUCCAGAAGUUUGCCUCAAAAUACUGCAUUUCUAUAACACACUGUCUACCUUGGCUCAUUAAAAAAAAAAAAAAAAAAAAAAAAAAAACUCUUCUUUUAACUUCAAACAACUCCGAAGAUUGUUUUCCCACAGAAUUCUAAAGAUUUUGUGACUUGUUUGUGAAGCAAUUAACUUGGACUUUCAGAAAUUUGUUCUAGAACUCUGAGAUGUCUUCAGUUUACAAGUCUGUUGCCCUAGGUGAUAGAUUCAAUCUUUUAAGUCUGUUGAUUGUAUAUACUGGAAUAUAUGUUUAGUGGGUUACAAACCCAAUUUAUCUUUUUCAAUUUAAUUUUGUUUUAUAUGUUGGGUAUGGCUCUGACUACCACUCCUAAGAAAAACAUCUUAGGUCCUUAAUGAAGGCCAUGGUUUCCCUUUGUCCUCCUAGGAUUCUGCAAAUUUUUUUAUUGAGCCAUCUGGAAGGGGACAUGGAGACAGAUGAGCCCAGCCCUAACAGCUAUUCAAGGUGUCAGACAUGUAAGUGAGUGAUCAUGAGUGUUCCAGCCUAAUCAAGCUCCUAGAUAAGUCCAUCUAACAUCCAACAUCAAGUGGAGCAGAAGAACUGCCCAACAAGCAAGUCAACCCCACAGUAUCUUGAGAGAUAAUAAAACAUCUUUUUUAAUCCA